UACGGAGGGUGCAAACGUUGCUCGGAAUUAUUGGGCGUAAAGCGCACGUAGGCGGUUCGUUAUGUCGGGUGUGAAAUCCCUCGGCUUAACCGAGGAAGUGCAUUCGAAACUGGCGAGCUAGAGUACUGAAGAGGGUCGCGGAAUUCCCGGUGUAGAGGUGAAAUUCGUAGAUAUCGGGAGGAACACCAGUGGCGAAGGCGGCGACCUGGGCAGAUACUGACACUGAGGUGCGAAAGCGUGGGGAGCAAACAGG
rnacentral:rRNA from 1 species